rnacentral:lncRNA from 1 species
GGCCUUCUUAAGUUUCUUUAUUUUUCUUCUCAACUAUAUGGUAGACAUUUUUAUUUUCCCAAUCAUUUAGAUGUUAUAUUAAAAAACAUUUAAUGUUUGACACUAUACAUUGUCCAUAGAUUGCUUGUAUUUGAGGCUUGUAUAUCUGAACCCUUCUAAUAUAUGUUAUAGAGAAAGGGAGAAGGUUUCGUACCAUUGGGCGUUUAAUCCCGCUGCAAAUGUUUGCACCUGUCCUAAGGCAGGAAUCUGAUGUACAGUAGUUGUUGUAUGUCUAUGUAAUUUAUACAUGUUUCUUGUUUCUCGUUUUUUUUUUUUUUUUUUAUAUAUAGAUUUGGUUUUCCCGUUUGAAUGGUUUUACACUAGUAAUUUUGAAGCUCUUGAUAGCUUGUUGUUUGGUAUGAGCCAAGGCUCCGUGUUGAAGGCCGUACAUUGACCUAUAAUGGUUUACUUUUUAAAAUUGUUAUUUGGAUUGAGAGUUGUCUCAUUGGCACUCACACCACAUCUUCCUUUUUAUCUUUGUAUAGCUUUUAACACUUGCAUAUUUAUUAUAGAAGAAUCAUGAGAUA